GGCAUAGCAGCAAGAAUGUGAAAGGGAUAAAUUAUAUACUGAUCAGAGCUUCUUUGUUCCAGGAAGUAAUCAACAAGUAAGAGCCUGAUAAUUAUGAAGUGUCAGCCUUUAGGUAACUUAGCUUUUAGAACUGAAAGUUACUAGUCUGUUUCAAUGGUGAACUUUUAGGUUCUGUAGACUGAUAAUAUUGGUAACAUAGUUUCCAUAGAAACUAGGGAGAAAAGAGCUACAGCUCCCAGACCCUCAUUGUUGGUGCACUUAUUUCGUGUCAUCGGUUUCUAGCCUUUUCCUGUCUUAGACAUGGAAGGUUUAAGAACAGUUUUUCAGAUUCAGAGGCUUUGACAGGAGUAGCAGUGAAAGGCCAGCUGCGGUCUCACCUUGCCA
rnacentral:lncRNA from 1 species